AUACGUAGGGGCCGAGCGUUGUCCGGAAUUACUGGGCGUAAAGGGCGCGCAGGCGGAUAUUUAAGUCAGCUGUAAAAGGCAUGAGCUCAACUCAUGUAUGCGGUUGAAACUGGGUAUCUAGAGUGCUGGAGAGGUAGGCGGAAUUCCCGGUGUAGCGGUGAAAUGCGUAGAUAUCGGGAAGAACACCAGUGGCGAAGGCGGCUUACUGGCCAGCAACAGACUCUGAGGCGCGAAAGCCAGGGGAGCGAACGAGAUUAGAUACCCCUGUAGUCCUGGCCGUAAGGUAUGAAUGAUAGGUGUGGGUGUCGAGAGUCAUCCGUGCCGGAGUUAACGCGAUAAGCAUUCCGCCUGGGUUGUACGAGCGCAAGAUUGAAGCUCAAAUGAAUUGGCGGG
rnacentral:rRNA from 1 species